AUGCGCCGGAAGCUGGCGCUCCUCGCCGCCGCCGCCGGUGGCGGCGGCGCGCUCCCUCUCUCGUGCGCGAAGCAGUUCCACGCGCGCCUUAUCGUCGCCUCCCCUUGCAUCCCCGACGACCUCCGCCUCCGUCUCCUUCGAUCCUACGCUGCGCACGGCGAGUUCGCGUCGGCGCACCGCCUGCUCGACGAAGCACCCCGCCCGGCCUCGCCGCUCCUCUACAACGCUGUCAUACGCGCCCACUCGCGCCGCCUAGACCUUCCCACUGCUCUCGCGUUAUUCGCCAGCAUGCGACGCUCCGCCACCCCGCCCGACGCCCACACCUUCGCCUGCGUCCUCCGCGCAUGCGCCGACUGUGAUCGGCCGGGCGGCGCCAAGACCCUCCAUGGUAUUGCGUCAACUUCCGGCUGGUCCUCCCACCCAAUCGUCGGCAGUGCGCUCGUUAGCGCAUAUUCAAAGUUCUUGCUCGUGGAGAGUGCUCGCCAUGUGUUUGAUGGUUUGCGUGAGCCGGACCUGGUUCUCUGGAACUCAAUGAUGUCCGGGUAUGGGUACAGGGAAAUGUGGCUUGAGGGGCUUCAACUGUUUUCUGCGAUGCGUAGGGCUGGGGAGGAACCAGACGGCUACUCGAUGGUCAGCUUGCUCUCAUCCUUCUGGGAUCCAGAAGCGCUUGCUUUUGGUCAAGCAGUCCAUGGAGUGUGUAUCAAGGGCGGUUACGAUUCUGGCCACCAUGUGAGAAGCACACUUGUUAGCAUGUACUUCAGGUGCGGCUGCGUGGAAUCGGGCCAAACCUUGUUUGGUAGUUUGCUGGAUGCGGACUUGGUUACAUGUUCUUCACUCAUUACAGGGCAAUUGCAGACUGGCAAGUAUGAUGAGUCAUUUGAUUUGUUCAGAGAAAUGUGCUACUUUGGCAGGAGGCCUGACAGCAUCUUGAUUGCUAGUCUUCUUUCGGCAUGUGCUUCUACAGCCACUAUCAGCUACAGCAAGGAGAUCCACUGUUAUGCAGUCAGGGUUGGUGCUGAUAAAGACAUGAAAGUCUCAUCUUCACUAAUGGAUGCUUAUGCAAAAUGUGGUUUUGCUGAGCUGGGAUAUUUGGUAUUCCGCCAAAUUCCUAACAAGAACUCAGUCAUGUACAAUAUGGUCAUAUCAAACCUUGGUUCUCACGGAUUUGCGAUGAAGGCCAUUGAAGUCCUUGAUGAGAUGGUCCGUGAUAAGCUCAGGCCUGAUGGUGCUACCUUCUCAGCUUUACUUGCUGCUUGUUGUCAUGCAGGACUCCUAGACGAGGGAUGGAAGUUGUUUAGGAGAAUGGGGGAUGAGUUCCACAUAGUGGUUGAAAUGCAGCAUUAUGUCUACAUGGUGAGGCUUCUUGCAACGUUUAACCAGCUGAAGGAGGCCUAUGAUCUUAUACAGACAAUGCCAAUGCCACCAGAUUGUGGCGUGUGGGGUGCAUUACUUUGGGGGUGUUGUCUCCACCGGGAUUCCAGCCUUGGUAGGGCAGUUGCUGAAAAGCUCUGUGAGUUGUAUCCAGACAAGGCUUCUUACAAGAUUAUGCUUUCAAACUUGUAUGCAUCAGAGGAGAUGUGGUGGGAUGCUGAGGAGGUCAGGACCGAGAUGUUGAAAGAAGAUAUGCACAAGAACACAGGGAUAAGUUGGGUUGGGGAUACAAGGAAAUGA
rnacentral:rRNA from 1 species